rnacentral:antisense_RNA from 1 species
CUUGGCGGAGCCGAGCCACACCGGCCGCUCCGCGGGGCGGCCCCUGCCGUACGUGGCGAGCAGGGCCUGCGCCUC